rnacentral:rRNA from 1 species
GGAAGGAUCAUUAUCGAGUUCUGACUGGGUUGUAGCUGGCCUUCCGAGGCAUGUGCACGCCCUGCUCAUCCACUCUACACCUGUGCACUUACUGUGGGUUUACGGGUCGUGAAACGGGCUCGUUUAUUCGGGCUUGUUGAGCGCACUUGUUUCCUGCGUUUAUCACAAACUCUAUAAAGUAUCAGAAUGUGUAUUGCGAUGUAACGCAUCUAUAUACAACUUUCAGCAACGGAUCUCUUGGCUCUCGCAUCGAUGAAGAACGCAGCGAAAUGCGAUAAGUAAUGUGAAUUGCAGAAUUCAGUGAAUCAUCGAAUCUUUGAACGCACCUUGCGCUCCUUGGUAUUCCGAGGAGCAUGCCUGUUUGAGUGUCAUGAAAUCUUCAAUCUACAAACUUCUUAUGGGGUUUGUAGGCUUGGACUUGGAGGCUUGUCGGUCCCUUUACAGGUCGGCUCCUCUUAAAUGCAUUAGCUUGGUUCCUUGCGGAUCGGCUUGUCGGUGUGAUAAUGUCUACGCCGCGACCGUGAAGCGUGUUUGGGCGAGCUUCUAACCGUCUCGUUACAGAGACAACUUUUAUGACCUCUGACCUCAAAUCAGGUAGGACUACCCGCUGAACUUAAGCAUAUCAAUAAGCGGAGGA